rnacentral:rRNA from 1 species
GGAACAUGUGGCUUAAUUCGAUGAUACGCGAGGAACCUUACCUGGGACUUAAAUGUAGAGUGCAUUUUUUAGAGAUAGAAAUUCCCUUCGGGGCUUUCUGCAAGGUGCUGCAUGGUUGUCGUCAGCUCGUGCCGUGAGGUGUCGGGUUAAGUCCCAUAACGAGCGCAACCCUUAUCGUUAGUUGCCAUCUGGUAAUGCAGGGGACUCUAGCGAAACUGCCACCGUAAGGUGAGAGGAAGGUGGGAUGACGUCAAAUCAGCACGGCCCUUAUGUCCAGGGCUACACACGUGUUACAAUGGUCGGUACAGAGGGCAGCUACCUGGUGACAGGAUGCUAAUCUCGAAAACCGGUCUCAGUUCGGAUCGAAGUCUGCAACUCGACUUCGUGAAGCUGGAUUCGCUAGUAAUCGCGCAUCAGCUAUGGCGCGGUGAAUACGUUCCCGGGCCUU